AGUUCUCUGUGAUGACAAUACCUGAUAGAGGUACUGAUACCUCUAUCAUACCUGAUACCUGAUAGAGAUACU
ensembl:miRNA